rnacentral:rRNA from 1 species
UACGAAGGGGGGCUAGCGUUGCUCGGAAUCACUGGGCGUAAAGGGCGCGUAGGCGGCCAUUCAAGUCGGGGGUGAAAGCCUGUGGCUCAACCACAGAAUUGCCUUCGAUACUGUUUGGCUUGAGACCGGAAGAGGUCAGUGGAACUGCGAGUGUAGAGGUGAAAUUCGUAGAUAUUCGCAAGAACACCAGUGGCGAAGGCGGCUCACUGGCCCGUAACUGACGCUGAGGAGCGAAAGCAUGGGGAGCGAACAGG